UUAAUCAAUUAAACUUUUAAAACCCGACGCAAAGAUGCAGAGUUUUGAUGAAUGGUCCACCGAGGGCCCCGGCGCCGGACGGGGGCCGGGUUGCCCCCGAGGCAACAUAGGUUUUGAUUACAAAGGGUUGGAGGUCGGGCCGGAGGCCCUCGCUCAGUAAUGAUCCCUCCGCAGGUUCACCUACGGAAA
rnacentral:misc_RNA from 1 species